rnacentral:lncRNA from 1 species
GAUGUGGCCUGAUUUUACAAAAACCGGAGAGAGAAUAAUCGCAUUUUGCUCACUUUUUAAAAAAAUCAGUCUUAAUCUACAAAUUUGAAAAAUAUGGCCCGACUUUACAGAAACGCAAAAACUGAUAGAUCUUUUAUGCAAAAAAAUCUGUUUCCAUAUAAUAAAACUAAAUAUGAUAAUUAAAUAUUUACGAUAUCAUCCUAAAAUCGUUGGUACAUCAGUGGUUAACCCACUAUUUGAGCCAGUGACUUUUGACUCAAUAACAUUUCAGAAUUAUUAUUUGACC